AUUGAACGCUGGCGGAAUGCUUUACACAUGCAAGUCGAACGGCAGCACGGGGCAACCUGGUGGCGAGUGGCGAACGGGUGAGUAAUACAUCGGAACGUGCCCAAUCGUGGGGGAUAACGUAGCGAAAGUUACGCUAAUACCGCAUACGAUCUACGGAUGAAAGCGGGGGAUCGCAAGACCUCGCGCGAAUGGAGCGGCCGAUGUCAGAUUAGGUAGUUGGUGGGGGUAAAAGGCUCACCAAGCCGACGAUCUGUAGCUGGGUCUGAGAGGACGACCAGCCACACUGGGACUGAGACACGGCCCAGACUCCUACGGGAGGCAGCAGUGGGGAAUUUGGACAAUGGGCGCAAGCCUGAUCCAGCCAUUCCGCGUGC
rnacentral:rRNA from 1 species